GAGAACAAAAGCUGCUGCUAAACUUUUGCUAUACCACAAUGAAGCAGAGUAUGGUCAAUUGACUCCUUCUAGGUAUGACAAAGAAUACAUCUGUUAGCAAAGGACCACCCUCUCCUCUGGAGUCAAUCUUAAGUCAGAACUUUACCCCAUGAAGCCUCCUAAAUAAAGAAACUCGACUUAGGUGAAAUUCAAGAGUUCCAAAUAGUAGCUUUUGAGAAAGGGUUUAAACUCCUAAGCUCCAGGCAAGCGUAAAGAAACUUCACAGAGAGAAUCGUUUUUUGUCUACAACCAAAUAACCUUAUCUUCUACUUCCCUAUUCACUGUCUCAUCUUGAAACCUCGAAAGAAAACGCUCCAAGAUAUCAAUCUCCCAAUCGUUUAGAUUCCUAAAGAAGCUAGGAGUCCAAAAGCUACUAAUAUUAGAUUGAUUCCACAGAUCCGCCACUCACACCUCCUUUGAGCUAGCUAAGGCAUAUAAGGAGGGGAAUGAAGCACAUAACAACUCAUUAUCACACCACCUAUCCUUCCAUUGCCCAUAGAAAAUGAGACUUUAGCAUUAACAAUCACCCACAAUUUCCAAAUGGUUUUCCAUAGCCCAACCGUGCACCUAUCUCUCACUUCAUUAGAACACCAUUCCCCUUUAACUUCCCCAUAUUUUCCCUUUAUAAAAUGUUUCUAGAAAGACUCCCUUUUUAUUGCAUGUCGCCAAAUCCACUUGCUAAGAAAAGCCUUGUUGAGCAAAUCAAGGCACCUAACUCCCAACCCCAUCUAUUUUUUUAUCUGAGCAUACAAUAGCCCACUUCACUAAACGAGGUUUUUUCUCUAAAUUCCCUUCACCUUAAGGGAAAUCUCUUUGAAUCUAUUCUGACCUCAUCCUCACUUUCCUCAGCAUUUGGAAAAGUGACAUAAAGAAGAUGGGCAUCCUAGAAAACGUGCUCUAAAUCAGUGUAAGCCUCCCCCCUUUGGAAAUAUACUAUCUUUUCUACAUUGUCUCUUUUGUGAAACCCUUCUUCCAUCCCAUCCCAUAUCGUCAAAUAAUUGGAAGGGGCGCCAAGGGGAAGACCCAAAUAAGUGGUUGGAAGAUCUCCUACCUUACAACCUAUAAUAGAAGCCAAAUCUUCCAAGUUUUCCACCCUCCCAACUAAAAUGAAGUUGCUCUUGCCUAGAUUUAUCUUCAAGCCAGAAAUGGCCUCAAACCACAUAAAAAACUAACUUAAAUGGUUCAUUUAAGUGUGGGUGGCCUCACAAAAAACUAAAAUAUCAUUGACAAACAACAAAUGGGAAAUCUUCAAACCUUUACCAUCUCUGUCAUUCACCUUGAAGUUAGAUAGAUAACCACCAGCUUAGCCCUCCAAAGGAAGCAACUGAGCACUUCCAUGGCUAGCACAAACAAAUAUAGUGAAAGUGGGUCCCCCUGCCUCAACCCCUUAGAACUUUGAAAAAAGCCAAAAGGAGUGUCAUUAACCAAAGACAGAGAAACUUGCUAUCAAAAUACCCAAUCUAAUCCAAUCGAUCCACUUCUACCCAAACCCCAUAAUUUCCAAAACCAAAAGCAAAAACUCUCAAUUUACAUAAUCAUAGGUCUUCUCAAUGCCAAGCUUACACAACACCUUGCAAUUGUUGCUUCUCAACAUAGAGUCAAUGGCUUCAUUGGCUAUAAGCACAACAUCUAAGAUUUGCCUUCCUUGCACAAAGGCAUUGUAGAACUUGGAAACCACUUUAUUCAUCACCUUUUUAAGCCUAUAAGCUAACACUUUGACCAAUAACUUAUAAAGACUAACCACCAAACUAAUAGGCAUAAAAUCUUUAAGAUCUUUUGCCCCCCUUUCUUUGGAACCAACACCAGAAAUGUCACAUUGGGACUUGUAACAAAUCUUCCCUCAUUCAGCUUUUAUCUAGACCCAUAACAGCCAAGCUCUUCCUCUCUUCCCUCUAGCCUACUUUUAUGGAUAUGUUUCUUCUUUGCUGCCUAACAUUGUCUAAAAAAUGUAAUAUCUCUCAAACAUAGAACUAUGCAUAAAUGAUCCUUAAUCCCAUGGCUGACAUCUAUCUCAAUCUUUCUACCUAGAAAAAUUGUAAAGGAAAAUGAUUUUAUCAUGUUUGAAUUCACUAUAAAAUGCUGGAAAUAAAAUCAAAUAUAAUUCAACUUAGUUAAAAGUUGAUGUAUUUGUUAUUGUCUUUCACUUUUCCUUCCUUUCUCAUUUUCCUCUUUAUUUUCCUCAAAAUUUUCGAAAACCAAAUAUAGCCUUAAGCAUCUCCUAGUUACAUGCAAUCACUCUCUUACUGCUAUCGAUGGUCAUAUCACACUCAAACAUUCAGAACAAUUUUCUUUUAAUCUUUGCCACAUUCUUUUCCAGGAAAGUACGGUUUCCGACACAUGAUGAAGGAAACCCUAGGGUUUAAUUCAUAUAAUCUCAACAAAUAACAUUAAAAAUGCAUCACAUGAAUUGGGGAAAGAGAAGGGAAAAAGAAAAAAGAAGAAGAAGAAGAGCAAACCUAGCGCGAGGCGAAGGGCGUCCACAUCGCCGAGCUGGGCGGCUGCGGCGAGGUUGCGGAGGUGGGCAGGUGCUUCGACUUCGUCCUCGAUUAACUCCCCGAAUACAGCUUCAUCGUUGUCGUCGUCUUCCUCCAUCAGACCAUUGCGCCGCCCUGGAACUGCCAUCCCCGUUAGCUCACGCUGAAGAAAAACUUAAAAAGGGGUUAAUGCGCCCGUCUCUAUAUAUACAUAUAUGAAAAUGAUGAAAUCUUUGGCAGCUUGAUGACUGUUUUAAAAACAAUUUUAAAAAAUAAUUUUUGAAAAUUAUUAUUUUAACCUAUUUUUAAUAUUUUUAAAUAUAUUUUAAAUAUAAUUUUUAUAUCUAAUAUUUUAUUUUUAAUCAUUCUAUAUAUUUAUAUAAUUAUUUUUUUAAAUAAUUAUAAGAAAAUAAAUAAAAACAAUAAAAAAUAAUUAUAAGAUAUUUUUAAAAAAUAUUUUUUUUACUAUUAAAAAUAAAAAAUAGAAAAUAGUUUUUUUGUUGUCUAACAUAUUUUUGUUUGGAGAACAGAAAACUAUUCUAAAAAAUAGUUUCGAACAAACUUUUUAUUGUCGUCGUCUUCCUCCAUCAGACCAUUGCACCGCCCUGGAACUGUCAUCCCGUUAGCCACACGCCCGUCUCUCUCUCUCUCUCUCUCUCUCUCUCUAUAUAUAUAUAUAUAUAUAUAUAUAUAUGAAAAUGAUGAAAUCUUUGGCAACUUGAUGACUGUUUUAAAAACAAUUUUAAAAAAUGAUUUUUAAAAAUAGUUUUUGAAAAAUAUUAUUUUAACCUAUUUUUAAAUAUAUUUUAAAAGUAAUUUUUAUAACUAAUAUUUUAUUUUUAAUCAUUCUAUAUAUUUAUAUAAUUAUUUUUUUAAACAAUUAUGAGAAAAUAAAUAAAAAUAAUAAAAAAUAAUUAAAAGACAUUUUUAGAAAACAUCUUAUUUUUUACUUUUAAAAAUAAAAAAUAGAAAAUAGUUUUUUUUUGUCUAACAUAUUUUUUUAUUGGAGAACAUAAAACUAUUUUAAAAAUUAGUUUCAAACAAACCUUUUAUUUUUUUUUUUGGGAAAUACAAAAUAAAAAAAGAUUAUUAUUAUUAAAAUUGAUCCAAAACGAAGAAAUGGUGGAUUAGCGUAUUUUUGCUCUCUCAAAUGAUUAAAAUUUUUUAGUUUCAAUAAAUAAAAAGGAACCACAUUCAUCUAUUAGAUUAAUUAUUUUUUAUCACAUUAUCAGUACCCAACACCGAUAUAAAAAAUUAACUUCUUAAAAUAUUGGGUGAGUGUUUUAUAAUUUAAAAAUAUGUAUUUGAAUUAAAGGAUCCCAAUACUUAAACUAUUUAAUGAUUAAUGUAUUUUUUUUUUAAUUUUCUUUGAUAAAUAAUAAAGCAAUUGAAAUGAAUUAAAAAAAUAUUCUUUUGAAACAAAGGAAAAAAAAUUUAAAAUCUUUCAUUUCAAUUAAAUAAAACAUAGAAUAAAAUAUAAUAAAUAAAAAUUGAUGCAAUUUGUUUAAUUAUUAAAAUAAGAUUAUUUGUUAUUUUGAAAAAUGGUAAAACAUAUUUUUAUUCCUUGAUUAGGAUUGUAACUUGGUGGGUUGGUCGAGUUAAUGGCUAACCUAAGCUAAACUCAAAGUAAGAAACAAUCAAUCGAAGCUUAACUUUACAUAUCCUCUAACCCGAGGUACUUAAAUUUUCAAGUAUUAUAAAUAUUAAAAACGUUUUCUAAAAUCACUACAAAACGAGCUCUAAAAAUGCAUUUGAGAGUGAUUCUAGAAAGUAGUUAUAACAUUUCUAAUACUUGAAUGAUAAAAAUUUUUAAGUAUUAAAAAUAUUAAAAGCGUUUUCUAGAAUUACUAUUAAACAUAAUCUAAUUCUAAAAUGAUAGCCACGAUUAUAAAACACAUGUUGUGAGUGCCCAAUAAUGCAGACCCAUUUAUCUUUAGAUUUGUACUUUACCGGAAGAAUUAGAUAGAAAAUGUCUUGUAGCACGAGUUCUCUCUCACACACCAAAUUUGCUUACAAAGAAAACUAGGUAUGAGUUCCUUCUUCUACUUAAUACUUUAUGUGAUAAAGAUCGUGUCCAUUACUUCACACACAUGUAUAGAAUGAUUAAGCUAUGGUUGACACCAACACCAAAAUCUUAUAUGAAUUCUUAAUUUCCCAAUUUUAACAUUGUUUUGUAAAUGUUCCUUAAAAUUAUUUUAUUGGCUGAAAUUUAUAAUUGUAGUGCGGCUAAGAGUACAUUUUCUUGGAUCACGAAUCCAUGAUAUUUACUAAAUCAAAAUUAAUAUUAUAGGAAUUAAAAUGAAUUAGUUUUUAUUUUCUUUUUAAAAUACUUUUUCUUGUUGAAAUCAAUCAUAUUAAAACAUUAUUUUAAUAAAAUUAAGAGAAUUUAUAUAUUAAGAUUAUGUUUGGUCUUAGAAAAAUGUUUAAAAAAAUAUAAAGGAAAAGUAGAAGAAAAUAAAAAAAUAAAUAAAAAUAAAAAAAAUAAAAUUUAAAAUUAAUAAAUUACUUUUUAUAUAUCAAUUCAAACCUGUUUUACUUAUCUUUAACUAUUUUAUAUAAAGAUUAAAUGAUUUAGAAAUGCAUAAUUUUCUUACUAAUUUUAAUUAAUUAAUUAAUUAUAUAUAUAUAUAUUCAUAUUUUGACUAUAUAUUAAAAAAUCAUUUUCUUCAAUAUUCUUUUCUUUCCUUAGUGUUUUCUUGGAGUCAAACAUAGGUAAACAAUUUUGAAAAUGCAUAAUUUUCUUACUAAUGUAAAUUAUAUCCUCAAAAUGUUUUAUGUUAAAAAGUGCAAUAUUUUUAGAGUAUUUUAUAUAUUGAUAUUUUCUUUCAAAAUUAGUUUAUUUAUGGAAUAACAUAGAAUGAUCACUUGAAAAAUAUUUUUUAUGUUAAGAGGAAAAAUGUUAUGAAUAAAGACUUACAAUCAUGGAAUUUGAUUUAUUUUAAGGUCUAAUAAUUAUAUUAUUUUUUCUAUUAUCUAUAUAUUCUCCAUGAUUCUGAAGAGAGUAAACCACACGACUCUCUUUGCAAAUAACUCAUAAUAUUCAACUUUGGCAUUAGAGUCUUGUCGAGAAUUUAAAAAACUCAAGGAGUGAGAAAUAUACAACAUGAUUGCAAAAAGAAUUAUAGUUAAAGGUAGAUUUAAUCAUUUUGUAGAGUAGUGUGCAUCAAUGAAAACAUAUUAAAAAAAGUCACGUGUGAUGAAAAACAUGUAUCAUGAAAGGAUGAAGAUGGACUAUUAAGAACUAUGCAUAAUAGAUAAAGAUGUAAAAAUAAAUUUGAAACAUGGGCGAAGUGGAGAUUUACGGUUCCAGGCAUGGAUAUAAGAAAUAGAAAAACUAGAAACAUGAAAUAUUUCAAAUUCAAAAGUUGAUUCUCACUAAUUUAUGGAUAUAAACAUAGUUGAUCGAGUAAAGCCACUGACAUACAACAUGAACCAAGGCUAAGAUGAAAUGAAAUGAAAGUAACAACAUCAUGCCACUUAUAAUAAGCAUUUAAUUAGGAAAUUACCCAAGGCUAAGAUGAAGCCACAUGCAACUGACCUGAAUGCCAUUGCGGACGUAACGCAUAUCAACCUUAAUGUGCAAAUCCUAAAGUUAUAUAUUGAAGAAACUUGCACGCAUUGAGCAGUACUACUUUUAAUCAGUCGAGACUUGAGAGGGGGAUAGCAAGUAUGAAACGUCCUGCUCAAACUAGUAACGGCAACAUUAAAGGUGUAACUUUCUCCAAUGAGGCAUGAAUAAGAAUUCAGGGGGCCGAGGUGCUUUAGGACAUGUAACCACCAUACAUGUGCCAUUGUCAAUGACCCCAUCUCUCAUCUAGUUAGGUGUCUCACGAAAUUGAUUAGGUGGUCACAUGCAUGGCUUUUCAAUACCACCAAAUGUCCUCGCUAUUCUUCCUUUAAUCUGAGUUUUCCAUCAGAGUAAACCCGCAUUAAUUGCUUAGAAGGUGAAGCUAGCUAGCUAGCUAGCUAGCAACAACACAAAAGGCAACCAGGUAUAGGUUCCUGUACCACCUUCGAUACACCCUUUAAUGCUGGCAUUAUCUUCUACUUUAUGCGGCAUCAGCAUGUUAGUUUCUUCACUUCAAGACAUGUGAAAAAUGCGUUAAGCUAUGCUAGUCAAGGUGAAGUUCACCAAAAUCACAAGUGGUAAAACCACAGAAGUUAGAAAUGAUUUUCAAUUUUGGAAAUCUGCCUACCCACAAUCUAAUUAUCUAUAACCAGUAAUGCCAGACAAAGGAUACCAUGGGCACUAUCAUUAGGUGCUUGUAGAUUCUUCCAUCAACGAUGGGUUCACACAUGUUCAAUUUUGCUUAAUUUUCGCAAUUCAAGAUGUGCAGUGUGUAUAAGAAAUGUGCAUAGUCAUGGAUCUCGUCUCACAGAGCAUUUUUGGCAUGCAACUUGAAGAUUCAUUAGCUUUGAUAUUUAUGUUACGAGAAGGUUAUUUUAGAAAAGUGACACAAUCGGUGAAUGGAAUGAGAGUCAUAGACAAGAUGUUGAUUUUUGCCCAAUCUUAAAAGAGUAAGGUCGGAUGGCAUAUAAAAAGCCCAAAUUGGUAUUCACAUGCUAGGCUGUGAUUGCCCAUAGGGAGACCUAAAAAUGGCAUUCACUGUUUGACAUGUUUUUGACAAGUCAUGGUUGUGCUCAUGCGCAUGUCCCUCCUUCUCCUCUCGGUCUCGUUUAUAAUAAAAGUUCAAAUUUACCUUGAAGGAGACAAAAACAUGUGACUUACUACUCUGGUUGAGGAUUUCUUCGGACUUGUUUCAUUGCCUGGUAUUGUGCAGUCAAGCGUAUCUUGAGUCUGACACGGUUCUAAAUAGUAAAAAGCAUUUAACUCCGCGUAUGGUGGAUUUCCGCAUAUGCCUUUUCUCCUAAAUCAUUAGGCAUGAAUUGAAAAUUCAAAGUUCUGUAGGCAUAAAAAAUUGGUGAGAAUCAUACCAUGUGGAUUGAAUUGCUAUUAUCUUGUAAGACUGGUAUGAAAUGAUAAAUUCAGACAAAAUUACAGAGCUAGACCAAAUUUGUGAGCCCUUUCCAUAACAAACCCUAACAACCCUAGAAACGUGUAAUGUGAAAAAAGAGUUGCAAUUAGUAAAUAAAUCUACAUCUCACAUUGAUAAAAAUCUUGUGAGUUUUCAACCACAGCCGCCCAGUGAUUGCUCUAAUGGGUAACCUCACGCGCAAAGGUGUGGCACCAUGGCUAUACUAAAGUAGUGAUUGAGGGGCACGCACGCGCACGUACUUUGUUUGGGUUAUGGGAUUGGGAUCCAAGGGCGUGUGACGGGGUGAGUACGUGACUUCCUCCAAAAUGGAAGAGCAUAUGAUAGGAAAGUACAGGUUGGAUCCAUAAAAGAAGGGCAGUUAUCUACUGAGUACUGGCUGGCUGGCUGUCCGUUUAUUUUUAUUUAUUUAUUUAUUUUUGUCAUUUUAACGAAACAGACAGACACAGAUGGAAUGGAGCUUUAGCUUUCUUGCAAAUGAAACAACAGGGACACCUAAUCCUUGGGUUGUGGUGGUGGCAAACUCAUUCCAAGCCCUUGGCUUCGCUCUCCUGACACCCUUUUCUCUCUCUGCCUCAGACUAGAGAGAAGCAACAAAGACAAAAACAAGGAAUAAAUGUAUCAUCAACUUUUUUGUGAAUCAAAUGGAACCAUGAACACAAGCCACUUGCUGAAAGAAAUUGAUCAACUGAACAAAGUUGUAAAAAAAAAAUAAAGAAUGGAUAAUCAUGAAACUGUAUAAGUGAAAUAUAAUAAUGUCAAUAAUUCACAUUUGUUUCGAUUGAGACAAAUUCAUGGAAGAUGGGGGGUUGUUGCAGCUUAGUAAUGGCAAUCAACCAAAGGAGAGGCGGAGAACACGAGAGCUUGUUCUUUUGUAGCAAAGGGGAAUUUGGACUCGCGGUGAUCGUCUUCUGGGGCUGGAAGAUUAAGAUCCAAUUGCAGUAUGUUUCUGGGUUUCUUGGCUUCUUGGGACUCAGGACUGCUGGUUGCCAUAGGCAUGGUAGGGGGCGGGCCUGUAAACGUUCUGUGCCGCCUCAUAUGACCUCCCAAGGCUUGACCGGAUGAGAAUUCAGCACCGCAAAUGGAGCACUCGUGAACCUUGGAUUUGUUAUUACUGUAUAAACCCCUAUUUGGUAUUUGCAGAGAAAGGGCAGUGCUGUUGUGGUUGAAUUGAUCAUAUUCAUCCUCCAUUAAAGCCCAAGUCCGCUUCUCUUCUGUGACCGCCUUAGGUCUCUUAUGACUGGCUCUGUGCCCUCCCAGAGCUUGGAAUGAAGGGAAGCAUCUGUAACACGUCUUGCACUGAUAAACGUAGAAGCCUGUGGCCUUGCUACUAGUUGCAGCGGCAGCUGGCACGGCCACUUUCCGGCUUUGGCCUUGAGCCAACAGAAUCAAACAAUUGGCCAUGUCUUCCUCCUCUUCCGUGCUUUCGGCGAAUUCAUGAUCAGUGGAGGUGGUAGGUGAGGUAGUCGCUCGAUCAACCCCACCAGAAUUAUCACUGACUCUUCCACCACCAUCACCUUCUUCUCCGCUAGAUGAACUGGAUGCCAUAGUUAAGGCAAGUGGGGACGACAGCCUUUGACGCUUGGUGCGCUUGCCCUUGAUGACAUGCGUCUGAUCAUUAGACCCCAUCACUUCCUCUUGAACUUCCAUCCUCUACCACCACUACCGCCAGGGAAAAAAAAACAACUUGAGAAAGAGAGAAAGGGAGAGGGAGAGAUACAGAGAGAGAGAGAGAGAAAGGGAGAGAAGAAAUGGUGAUGGAGAAAGCAAGGUAAGAGAGUGGGCGUUAUUAUAUAGGGAGAGGCAGUGAAGGGUAAGAGGGUUGGAGUAGAACCAAGGAGCCGCCCCAGUGAACAGUAACCGUGAAUUUUCCUUGCAUUUCCCACCUCGGAAGUUAUAUAUAGCCAAAAAGUACAGAUGGGUAUUUAGAGAGAGAGAGAUGCAUUGUAAGUAUGAGGAGGUCAGGGAACGAGUGAGAUUCGGUUGGCUUUCAAGCAAACCCAUUACUUUUUUCCAACGAUUCCUUAUGAAGGAUUGGAAUGCAAGCCUGGAACCACAGAAUUUGCGCUUCACCCCCCUUUUUUUCCCCUUUAUUUUCUUCCCUUUCGUCAUUAUUUUUUCCUCUCCCCUUUAUUUUCUUUCUUACACUGUCACACUUUUAAUUCAAUGUUCAAUUAAAUACGCCUUUAAAAUCAAAGGUUUAGUUACAAUAGCAUCCAGCUUUUCGCUAAUAGGUAUUGUAUUAGACGCUUACUCAACCUGUUCAUGUGCAGUUGACCCACUCAACCCCUUGGUCACUUGUGGGAUGUGCCAUAACCCAGAAAUCACGCCGCUUCCAUACAUGAUCCAAUUAUUUGAUUACUAUCUUAUUGCCUACCCAAUCAUUGGGUUCGGUAAAGCCACAAAAUAAUCCCACCAUCCCCAUCACACCUGAAAUUGGAUUUUUCCAUUAAGCUUGUCGACAGUCGACAGUCGACUAGAGUGAAUUCCUUAUGUAAAAAGAAUCAAAUUCUCGUUAAGGGGUGCAGUGCAAUUAAGUGUAUUAUUUAUACCCUUUGCCUUGUGACAUAUACUUGGAAUUACUUGUAGCAGUGCCACAUUCCUAGCCCUAGUGUCUGCAUUAUUAACAACACUAUUCCAAUUUGUUUUCUACUUUUCUUAUGUAUUAAAUUAAUAAAUUCCCACAUGGGGAAGUACAACAACUUCAUUAGUCAUUUACCUUUGCCUCACAUGUUCACACUACCUCGUUCUUUCAUCCAUUGGAAUCAACGGCAUGACGUCGGCUACGAUCACUCCAUCAAAUAUGUACCAAUCCAAGUCAACUUUUUAAUAUUUAACCUAAUUACUUGGUAGCAUUAUAUCUCCUUAAUUACGUAAAUAUGAGUCCCUUAAAUUUAAUAUACCUUUUUAACUCGUUAUUUGAUUAUAACUUUCUGUAACGUUGUUUUUGAGAAUCCAAUUUAGAGAAUUUAUUCAAAGAGAGAAGCUUUAAUUUCUCUCUUCGAGACAAUGUGAUUAGAUACCAUAAACCAUAUGUUGUCCAGUUAUAUAUACACAAGUUGACUAAUACAAACCAGGCAGCGACAUGCCUCUUUGAACAUGUUAUUAUGAUAAACUCAAGAGCAGCCGAACAUGUUGCUACAUGGAGGUCAACUGCCUCCUUUCAUAAACACAACAUCCCCUUUAGCACUGAAACAGCCAAUUCUUCUCGUAACUGACUGAUUAGUCAUGUUGGCUUGAAUUAAACUAGAGUUUUAUAGAGUUUACUCAUUCAAAAAUUUAAGUUGACUGUUUCCAUUCUCUAUUUAUGUCAAGGCUAAUGGCGAAUUUAUUAAGUGUCACUAAUUAAAGUAGCCUAAUUCUCAAGCAAAGGGUGCAUUAAUUUGGAAACCUUUUGUGCCAGUUGAGCUGCAAGCUAAUGAAUGAUUGAGUAAACCAUAUAAACUGUAUAUGUGUCUAGGUGAGGUGUAAUGCAGUGGAGAUUCUUAGCGUAAGGAAAUAUGUAGGAGAGGAGGUUGUGAGAGGCACGCAAUGGGCAAGCUAGCUAGGCAAGGCAAUGUCUGUAGAUAGAUUGCAUAAGCAAAGCAUCCUUUCAAUUGCCUUUUCUCAAAAUUCGUUCUCUCAUUUUUGUUCUGGGGUUUGGUUGGUGGGCUUGGAUUAGGAGCUUCCAUGUUUUCUCAUUUCUUUCUAAUUAAUUUUCUAAUAUCUUCCUCUACAACUUCACUACUUCUCCACCAUCCGGGCGACCCCAUCUUAAAAUUUAUUAUAUGAUUAGUAAUGCUUUGAAAAUAUAGUUUGUUAGGUGAGCUUGAAAGAUCAUGGAGAUCAAGCAUGCCAGCAGUGAGAUACUAGGGCAAACAAAAAGAAAUUACCAACUUAUAUUUAUAUUCUAACCAGUUCCAAACCUUCCAAUAACAAGAUAUGAAUGGGAAAAGGGAGAAGUUUUUGAGGAGACGAACCUAAGAAGGAUAUGAGCUAGCCUCAUGAUCAAAGAAAUUUUGGAAAUUUCAAUAAAUAAAUAAUAAAUAAAACUUUAUUUUUGGUUGUCAUGUGGAUUAAGAGGAAGGUGCGCUGGCUUGGAGUAAAAUAAAAGGUGUCCUUGGAAGAGAGUAUAAGUGAUGCCAAGAAUAUGAGCAAAAUGUAUAUACAAGCAUGCGUGAAGUGUCACAGUAAACAAAAAUAUGACACAAUAAAAAGGGAAAUGGUACAAGAAGUCAUCUUUCAGUUGAAAAAACUAGUGGUAAUGGUGGUAUGGGUAGCAGUGGCAGUAGUGAUGUUUUUGAGUAACCACUUUGGAAGUUACAACUAAUACACACACAUGGGGCACAUAACAAAGACAAAUUGCCAUCAGCUUGAACCUACAAAGGAUAACGACCUUGAGCCUACUCCACCAAAUAUUUUGGUUGAGUCCAUUCACCUUUACAUCUCAUCUUAUACUCUUCAUUCACUCUAGUACUCCACUUGGGUCAACAGUCUGGGGCUUUGUUUAUGUUAAUUCCAGAGAAAAAAAAAGAGAGGAAGAAACAAAAGGGUCAAUAGAGGGCACUGCAUAUGUGGAGAAGUGGGGCUUCCUUCAUAUCAGAUGAGGAAGGCCACAGAGGAGUCCAAAAGUUGUGCUGAGGGAGCUACUGCUUGAAUAUGUGGCCGAAUUAUGGUCUUGAAAUGAAUUGAUUUUAGUUUUUAAUAAAUAUAUCCAUGAACUUGCAUUUUUCUAUAAAACAAAAUUAAUAUGUUGAAAAAUGCAGGUUUCAUUAAUUCAAAAAUUAAAACCCUAAAAAAUUGUUUACAUUAGUUAUGGUAAGAAAUUGUAAGAUGAUAUUUGGGAGAUGGGAUGCAAAUGAUCUAUGUAAAAAAGGAAGCAUGGGGAGCAUGAGUUGAAGCAUGACCAAUAAAUUGUCCAUGCAGCUACACAUUGGCAUCCUCCCCCACAGAAAAAGUAAAAUGUACAGUUAGAAAUCGGUGCAAACUUCAUAAAUAAUGAUUUGGAUGGAGCUAUGGCCAUUCCCUGGACACCACAUUUGCAUACCCAAUAAAGUCAGGCUUCAAAUUAAUGAGAUCAUACUACAAGCGUGGAGGUUCUUGAUGGCAUCCUCUGUACAACCCAUUUUCGUGCUAAUCACGAUUAUCGGGAAAAAAAAAUGGUGGGUUCGCUAAGAAGACCGAUAUGUGCCAAAAAAAAAGAAGGGGUGUUUCCAGCUGAGUCCAGUGAUGCAUUCCAUAUUUGAAAGUGUCGUGUCCGGACGGUUACGUGGUAUAUAUCUAUCCUUGGAGAAUGAAUGAGCCCAGUGUGUUACAUCUCAUUCACAGCCAAGUUGCCUGUCAAAGGUCAAGGCCUAAUCAUGAUUAUCAAAUUAUAAUUCGGAAUCUAAUGAACACAAAUAGAAACUAAAUGGAUUUGAUAUAUUAAGCUAAAACUGAAGCGAACAAAAAUACAAAAGGUAGCUACAUGUCACAAGUUGAUCCAAAUGAGCCUCCCCAUGGCCUUAUAUAGGGCCAGGAAGCUUCUGGAGACUCCUAGAAUGGGAAGAGUGUGGAAGGUUCUAGAGAAGUCUGGAGGAGUCCACACAAUUCUACACUAUGGUGGAAGGCACAAGAGGAGUCCGGGGCUUUCUAGAGAAGUCUAGAAGACUCUUGUAUAUACUUGUAUAUAGGCUUGUAACUAGAAAGAUGUAGGACAUUCUAGAAUAGUCUUGAGAUGUAAGGAACCCUCCAAGGUUCCAGAGAGUUCCAUUGGUGCCUAUAAAUAGGUGAGGGCCUCAUUUGGCCAAGGCACCAAGCAAGUGAGCAUCCAAACACUUGUAAAGGUUUCCUUGAGUUAGUGAAAGCUUCCAUUCUUUCAAGAGUUGCCUACCAAGCUUCUUAAGUUUUUGAGUUGCAAGUGUCUUAGCCUAGCAAGCUAAGCAUUGGGGAGCAAGACUGACUUAGCAAGAUCAAGCGUCUUGGCUUGUCUAAGUGCCGCACGAGCUUAGUGAACGACUAAGUCCGUGACAUACAGCAGAAAUAAAGCUUUUAAGAAGAAAAAAGGUGAGUGAAAAUUUGAGCCAGGCAUGUACCUCGAGGACUAAUAAUUAAUGCUCAACGCUAACACUACGAUCAUAUGUCAAAUCCCAAACUAUAACUACUUGAAGAUCUUUAACUUAAGUCGUCAUAUCCGUCUGACCAAAUGGAUGGGUCCCCACCAGGCCGUGGAUAUACAAUGCUUGUGGCAGCAACACCAACUAAACCCAUAAUAAAAACUAAAAAAUCCAGCCCGUUCACAGCAUUUCAGGUGGUGGGACCGUGGGAGGGUUCGGCCAAUCCGCACAGCCAGCAGCAGAUAGCUACUAUGCAAGGGAGAUAUUUUAUAUAUCUUGAAUCUUACAGAUAAGAUUUUGUAAAUAGGUCUGGAAAUAUUCGAAUUUCUUAGUUUCUCCGCCAUUUUUGGCAAGCAAACAAAGGCUUUAGUAGGGAUUUUUAUUUGGGUAGAAUUCCAACUUCCAUUUACAAAACCAUUGUUUGGUUGAUUUCCUUCCCCAUGAGUUUGGAAAAUUGGAAUGGUACCUUAGUUCAAUAAUUAUGUCCAACCAAAUUUUAUUUUUUCUUUCUCUUUCAUAUUUUUUUUAUGCCAGGGGCAAUGCAAGGUGGAAAGUUGAAGAUGAAGGUUGUUAGGAUGUCAUUUUAGAUGUUUGAUAUGUGGGAAUGGAUUUAUUAAUCAUUUUUUCAUCUAUUCUCGUACUUGGAUAAUUCCCCUUCAAGUGAUCAUAAGAAAUAAAAUAGAAAUUUAGUCCACAUAAAAUAAAAAUUUUCAAUUGAUUUUUGAUUUUAUAAAAAAAAAAGUUACAAAUUUAAUUUGUACAAUAUAAACUAAAUUAAUUACAAUAGUAUUAAAAUCAAUUUUGUAAUUAUAAAUAAAUUUAAAAAUAAAUUAUGCAUUUUUAAUAAAAUAUUAAUAGCAAUAUUAUAAUAAACUCAUAAAUUAUAUUUUUUUAUAAAUAUAUUACAAAAAUAUGUAUAUUAACACUCUCAUAAAAACAUAAUUGAUUUAUUUUGAUAAAAACAAGAAUAAUACUAUUUUAAUUGAAAUGAAUAUAAAAACAAAUGAAAUUUAGGUAUAAAUGAGUCAAUAUGUACAUUUAGCAAUCAUUUCCAGAUAAUGUAUUAUAAAAUUUUUUAUUUAGUCUAUAGAUAAUUAAUUACUUUUUUAAUUCUAAAUUAUUCAAAGUAUUAAUCAUAUUCCACUUAAUUUAAAAUUUAUUUAUUAUUUGAUAAAAUUCAAAAAAUAUAAUUAUAUGUAUAAAAGAACAAUAAAUUUAUGAGUCAUAUGUAUUAGCUUUUGUCCAUUAUUUUUUGUAAAUAUAUAUUAAUUUAUUUAUUUUUAUCAUAGAAAACAAAAUAUUUAUUCCCAUUUUCCUUUCCAUAUGACAAAAUAUGCUUUUAUUAUGUUUGAUUUAGUUUAUAGACAAAGUGUAAGGCAAGGCACCAACCUUUAGUGUUGCUUUCUAAACAUCUUUGCUAGCUUUUUUUAGUGGGUACUGGGUAUUGGGAUAAUGAGGCGAAAGCUCCAGGUUACCAGUCUUUUAUGGGACAUGAAAGUUGCACCUCCCAAAGAGUCUGCUGGGGUACCAAUCCAGCUUCAAUUUAUACAAAUUUAGAUAAUUUUAUCUGGAAUUUGGAUAAGAAUUUUUUUUUUCCGUGUCUUUGAGAUUAAUAACCAAAGAAUUUGAUUUUGUUAAAGGGUUUAACUACAUUAUAGAAAUAUAUCUUUUUUUUUUUGUUUUAGUAUUUAUGAAAAAUGCAUCAUCAAAGAAGUGGUAUCAUGUAUAUGUUUUUAGACUCAAUUAUUUGUUUCAUAAUCCCAUUUAUUUAUACUUUUAUAUCAUAAUUUUAUUUUUUUGUAUCCUCAUUCGAUGAUUUAGAUCUUACCAUACAUAUUUAACCGUCUAAAUAUUUUAUUUCAUAGAUACUACUAGUUUAAGCAUUUUUCUCGUUAAAAUGCAAUAAGAUCUUGAAAAAAAAAACGUUCUAUUCAUUGCCAAUUGCCUUGUAAUUUGUAGGUUUUGUUUGUAGUCAUAGAAUGAGUUAUGGGUGGAAUGUCAUGUAUCCUCAAAGUUACUUGUGUGGACUUGUAAGAAAUGUUUUUUUAUGGUUUCAAACAUUGUUCUGGAAUGAUUAGACGAUUUUUAUUUUUUUUUUAGAUUUUUUUAAAAUACUUUUAAUAUUGAUUUUAGAAAGUGUUCUUAGUUUUUUAAUACUUAUAAUUUUUUAAUAUUUAAAUAUUAAAUAUUUCUUAAAAUCACUGUCAAAUCAAAUGUACUUUUAAUCUUAUUUAUAAUAUGAACCAAAAUAAAAAAACUUUCACCGAGCUAGGAUUGCGAGAAAGACACGGAGAGGAUGAAAAAGGUGGGCUCACAAUUGGGAACGACCCAUUGAACCAGAAUAAUUGAAUAAAGAGUUUUCACAAUUCUACCUUUUGAUUAUGAAUUUUGUUUGUUUAGAGGGAAUAAUUGAAGUGGGUUUUGGACACAGAGGCCCAAACUGUUAAGGCUGGAUUUGAAUUGUUUGGAGAGAAGCCCAAGCAGUGGAGGUGGGCCUGUACUAGUAAAUCCUGAUUCCUCCAGAAGGUUCAUAACAUUAAUGAAUGGUAUAAUCCUUUAAGAGUUAUAUUCAUAGGUAUAAUGAAUGGUUGAUCCUGUCAAGUGUUUUUAAGAGUGAGAAUACCAAAUAAAAUGGAAAGCAAGCCUUUGUUUCCUUCCUCCAUAUAACAUUGGUCUGAGAGUUUCUAUUGUUAAAUUGCUAACCAUAAUCAAAUACAGGUUUGUUACAGAUAAGAGCGAAGUUGGGAGUGUCUUGAGAUGGACAAGUGCCAUAAUGUUGUGCGCCACAAAGUAGUGCACAUGGAUGGGUUCCAAGUUCACAACUGGAGGUUGACACAGUUAUAGCCAAUGGGUAUAAUUCAUUUGGUUUAGAAAAAUUUUCAAAUCUGUUCCUAAAAAUGUGGUCUCUCUAGAGGCCUUUUCCAACGUGUUGACUAGUCCCAAACGCAUCACAUGUCACCUAGAUGGGCUCCAUGCUGCCAACUUAGCCAUGAAUUUAGAUUAUAUUUGUAGAGGACCCGUGGGUCAAUUCACAAAAGCAGUUUGGACAAUCUUGUGUAAUAAGAUAUGAAAUGGAUCUGGUCAUCCUAAUUUUUAGAUUGAAGCCUUGUGUUCUGGUUUUUAACUGUCAUUAUGCACAACAUCAAACCAUAUACGUAAUGUACUCACUGUCGUUUCUGCUCUUUUAAGCAACAUAGUAAUUAGUUCAUGCCAGACUGACCGUAUACAUGACUGGAAGCUUAACUAAUUGAACUCUUCCAGCUCAUAAGAUUAAUCAUUCCCGAGAGACUGUAAGUGCCAAAUUCAAACUUCAUACAGUGAAAUUCAUAUUUACCUAGAGUGAAAACUUCCCCCCCUGCACUAAAAUUUGGAAACAAAACAGUUCAAAAAUUCAAUUAUUGAAGUUAGAAAAGACCUCCUUCAUACUUUGUAAAGCUUAAAAAUUUAAAAUCAAACCUUAUCAGAAUGCAAUCAUUUUUGUAUGGAUAUCUUGUGCGAUUCCUCCUUGUUAACUGGUGAACAUCGCUCGCAUACUUGGUUGAAAGCUUAAAAUAUCCCCAGCCAAGAUCAUAUUUAAGGCUCCUGUUGUGGUAUAUAGGUUUUUUAUUUUUUUUUUGCUUACCAAAUUGUAGAUGCCACGCUUUAAUUAAGCUGUGUUUACUUAUGAACAUAGGAAGGAUAUCGUGGUGCUGUCCCACAUUUCUGUCUCAUGUGGAAAACUCAGCUUUGAAAAAGAUUGGGUUGCAUCUCUUGAUGUAUUGAUGGAACUAGGCGUUGGUACAAACUAGCUUUGGUUCUAUUGCCUCUGAUGAUUUGAAAUUUUUUUACCUUCUUUCGUACUGAUGCACAUGAAGAAACCUUGGCUUUUCUCCAUACAAUGCUAGAUAUUAUAUGGGAGAUACCCAAGAUUGAUAGACUGAGAUUCAGUCAUGUGAGCGGUGUAAGCCGAUCCCUCUUGUUUUUCCAAAACACUCUAGAAAUACGACAAUAUCAUCAUGAUCAAAUUGAAUCCUUCUUCCAAUAAAUUCAGUCACAUUUCUCUAAGGUUCUAUAAAAUUCAAAACGUUUCUACCUUAUACUUCGAAUUAUCAUCACCAAAUAAAUCAUAAUUAAUGGUAAUCUCUAUCCAUAUUGUAACAUCAGUUCUUUUUUAAGGCAUGUGUCCAAGUGGUGCUCAUCCAAAAAGAGACUUGAGUAACUCAUACACUUAGAGAGUUGAAAGGAUCCUAAUCCGUAGAUCGAGUAGAGAAUUGGGUUGAUACUUGAUAUAAAUGAAAAUGAGAAUGAUGGGUCAAAAAGUGAAGGUGGUGAGCUUGUGACGGGGAUGGUCCCUCACCACUACUCAAAGUGGAUUGGUUCCAGCUGUGAAUUACUGAUUGUGUCUGACCAAUCAGAGAGCCAGCCUGGUCUUUGCUUUCCUAUUGCCCCCACCUUCUCCAUGCACGAGAUUCUUGCCACUCUGCAAGCCCCAUCUCUCCAUCCUACAAUUACGCUAUUUUCCUCACACACCCAUCAUCAAUGCUUCCCUCUUUUUCUAAAUCAAUUGCCUCACAUGUCUCUAUUCUUUUUUGUUGGUUUUCUUGUUAAUUAGGCCAUAUAUAUAUCUCCAUCAAUCUCUCCUUUCAAGCUUCAGGUUUACUCUGAAUUGAAAAACUUGUCAAACACUUCUUCUGUUUAUGGCUUCGCUAUAGAAUCACUAGUACGCCCAAAAACAAUCGACUAAUUGGAGUUGCUAUUACUCAAAAGGUUGAAUUUUCUUUCUUUCUUUAUUUUUUUCCCUUUUUGAAAAAGGCACCACAUCAUGAUAAUGAUUCAAAACUGCGUCUUAGCUUUUGCCUAACAUAUAGGGACAAAAUGGGAGUGAUUGAAUGGCAAGAAUUUGUGGUAGGGGCAUGAUGAACCUUAGUGAAUGUCAGACAAAACUCUUACUAUUUUACUAUUAUUUUGGACAACGUCUUCCCCUUGGGGACUCUUUACAAUGUUUACAUCAGCAUCUUAACCAAAAACAACCGUACAAAUAGUAAUAUAAUUUGAAUAUUACGAGUGAUUACUGCAGAGGAUAUGACUGGGAACACAAUCCUUGGACGCCACACAUUAUUUUAGUAUAAGAAGCUACAGCAGCACGAUGGCCCCCCGGGUUGUUCUCUAAAACCCACAAACAAUUGUACAUCCCUAAUAAUAUUCUAAUCCGAUGCUUGCUAGGAUACAUUAUUUUAUGAAAAUGGGCCCUCUUCGCAGCUCUUUCUCAUGAUGCUCAUCCUUCAACUACUUAUCAACUCCAAAUAUUAGGAUUUUCAGUGUUACAUAGGAAUUUUGAAACUAGAAAGACAUAUGUGGGGCAGUGGGUGCAUAUCCCUUCAGUAAUGAACACAAAACAAAAUCGGUCACUUUCAGUAAAAUGGAGAAGAAGUGGUAGAAAAGUACAAAGGCUAUGUUCACACUCAUUGCACUACAACCACUAUUGUUUCCAAAUUAAUUAGUGUGACAUAUAUUCUGAUAGUGUUUGCCUUAAUGUCAAAUGACCCAAUCAAUAAUUACAUUCAAUUGAUAACAUGAGCUGUUUAUGUGUUCUAAUCCAAGAUUCCCCUUUAUCGCAUAAAACGUGGAUAGGGAAAAAAAAAAUUCUUUUCAUUUCAGGUUCGUGCGUAUUGGCGAUGUAGAGAGUGCUGGCCGCGGCCAACACAUCAUUGCCAUCGAUUGUAUACUGUAACCCACGUGUCAACAGUAACCACAUGAUCAUCAUUUUAAUAGAUGGAUCUUUCCAGAGACUGACCCAAGAUGACGAAGCCCACUCCUCAAUCACGUUACGUGUCUCUUCUAUAUCCGGCACACGUGUAAAUCACAUGGCCGUUUAGUGGUGAACUUGCUUUGUUGUGUGAACAGUGAUGGCCUAUUCGUGGGCUAAUUAUGAAAACUUUUAAUUGAAAUAAAAUUCAAUAUUAAAUAUUUUGCAAACCGUCCACCAAUCAUUGUUCAAAUAAAUAUUUAUUUUAUUGUUUUUGUUUACAGGGAAACCGGCUAUAACCAGUUGUUAGGCUCAUGAGACUUCCGAUAUAAGUGAGAGCCGGAGUGAGGAGUGGAGACCAGUUGUGGAUACACGGUAGUAGCCCUUAGCAGCAGGGAUUCUAGUUCUCCGCCGUUGAUUUGAUCUUUGAUCAAACGACCAUGCCGAUCCGCAACAUCGCCUUUGGAAGGCCCGAGGAGGCGACUCGACCCGACGCUCUUAAAGCGGCGUUUGCUGAGUUUAUAUGUACCUUGAUUUUCGUGUUCGCCGGCGAAGGUUCCGGCAUGGCCUUUAACAAACUCACUGACAACGGUUCCACCACUCCCGCUGGCCUCGUUGCCGCCUCUCUGGCUCACGCAUUCGCUCUCUUUGUUGCCGUCUCUGUAGGAGCCAACAUCUCCGGUGGGCACGUCAACCCCGCAGUCACCUUCGGUGCCUUCGUCGGCGGUAACAUCACCCUCCUCCGGGGCAUCCUAUACUGGAUUGCUCAGCUUCUUGGGUCCACCGUAGCUUGCUUGCUACUUAAGUUUUCCACCAACGGCAUGGUAAGCUUAGCAUUCCUCUAAGAGGUUCGUUAUUUCCGUUACUUUGACAGUUGAGAGUUGUUAACAAAGAUUUAUUGGGUUGGGUUCCACUGUUUCGC
rnacentral:lncRNA from 1 species